rnacentral:rRNA from 1 species
GACAGAGGUGCCGAGCGUUAGGCGGAAUCACUGGGCUUAAAGCGUGUGUAGGCGGGCCGUUAAGUGCCCCGUGAAAUCCCCCGGCUCAACCGGGGAACGGCGGGGCAUACUGGCGGCCUUGAGAGGCCUAGGGGCGAGCGGAACAGGCGGUGGAGCGGUGAAAUGCGUAGAUAUCGCCUGGAACGCCGACGGUGAAAACAGCUCGCUGGGGGCCUUCUGACGCUGAGACACGAAAGCCAGGGGAGCGAACGGG